rnacentral:rRNA from 1 species
UACGUAGGUGGCAAGCGUUAUCCGGAUUUAUUGGGUGUAAAGGGCGUGUAGGCGGGAGCGCAAGUCAGAUGUGGAAACUCAGGGCUCAACCCUGGGCCUGCAUUUGAAACUGUGUUUCUUGAGUGCUGGAGAGGCAAUCGGAAUUCCGUGUGUAGCGGUGAAAUGCGUAGAUAUACGGAGGAACACCAGUGGCGAAGGCGGAUUGCUGGACAGUAACUGACGCUGAGGCGCGAAAGCGUGGGGAGCAAACAGG